rnacentral:rRNA from 1 species
ACGCCGUAUACGAUGUCGACUUGGAGGUUGUGCCCUUGAGGCGUGGCUUCCGGAGCUAACGCGUUAAGUCGACCGCCUGGGGAGUACGGCCGCAAGGUUAAAACUCAAAUGAAUUGACGGGGGCCCGCACAAGCGGUGGAGCAUGUGGUUUAAUUCGAUGCAACGCGAAGAACCUUACCUACUCUUGACAUCCAGAGAACUUUCCAGAGAUGGAUUGGUGCCUUCGGGAACUCUGAGACAGGUGCUGCAUGGCUGUCGUCAGCUCGUGUUGUGAAAUGUUGGGUUAAGUCCCGCAACGAGCGCAACCCUUAUCCUUUGUUGCCAGCGGUCCGGCCGGGAACUCAAAGGAGACUGCCAGUGAUAAACUGGAGGAAGGUGGGGAUGACGUCAAGUCAUCAUGGCCCUUACGAGUAGGGCUACACACGUGCUACAAUGGCGCAUACAAAGAGAAGCGAACUCGCGAGAGCAAGCGGACCUCAUAAAGUGCGUCGUAGUCCGGAUUGGAGUCUGCAACUCGACUCCAUGAAGUCGGAAUCGCUAGUAAUCGUAGAUCAGAAUGCUACGGUGAAUACGUUCCCGGGCCUUGUACACACCGCCCGUCACACCAUGGGAGUG